GACGUAGGGCGCAAGCGUUGUCCGGAUUUAUUGGGCGUAAAGAGCUCGUAGGCGGCUCGUUGCGUCGGCUGUGAAAACCCGCAGCUCAACUGUGGGCUUGCAGCCGAUACGGGCGGGCUGGAGUUCGGUAGGGGAGACUGGAAUUCCUGGUGUAGCGGUGAAAUGCGUAGAUAUCUGGAGGAACACCGGUGGCGAAGGCGGCAUCCUGGACCGGUAUUGACGCUGAGGCGCGAAAGCCAGGGGAGCAAACGGG
rnacentral:rRNA from 1 species